AGUCAAAGCGAGCCAAGACCCGGAACUCCCUCCCGCAGGCAUUGGCUCCCACGUUGGGGGUGUGGUCUACUAAUUUCCCUCUUUGUAGAGUCUGAUGGAUGCAGGAGUGCCGGCAGGAACACAAUAGGAUGUGCAGCAUGCUGACGCCAAGGAUAUCGUUACCCCAGUGCCAUGACCCCAGAGCUGACUGUGGAUGACUAAGGUCAUUCGGAACAGGACAGCCAGAGUGGAUGAACAUGCAGAUGCACCAGCAACGGAUUAGUGCAUGCCUGGAAACAGCCACCCUAAAGCUCCUUAUGAAGAUAAGAAAGACAAGAACACGUAUUUUGUGUCCAGUGAGGAUAGUUGGCAAAACCAGCACAGUUAAAAGUGGGCACAGUCCAAAGUGCACACAGUGCAAUCAAACUUGAAAACCUAACGGAAAAUACUCAUCUUGUGAGCAACCUUGAAAGUCA